rnacentral:rRNA from 1 species
AUUGAACGCUGGCGGCAGGCCUAACACAUGCAAGUCGAGCGAGCGGCGGACGGGUGCGUAAUGUCUGGGAAACUGCCAGCUGGAUGGGGAUAACUACUGGAAACGGUAGCUAAUACCGCAUACCAUCAGAUGUGCCCAGAUGGGAUUAGCUAGUAUGUGGGGUAACGGCUCACCUAGGCGACGAUCCCUAGCUGGUCUGAGAGGAUGACCAGCCACACUGGAACUGAGACACGGUCCAGACUCCUACGGGAGGCAGCAGUGGGGAAUAUUGCACAAUGGGCGCAAGCCUGAUGCAUCCAUGCCGCGGGUAUGAAGAAGGCCUUCGGGUUGUAAAGUACUUUCAUCGGGGAGGCGUUACCCGCAGAAGAAGCACCGGCUAACUCCGUGCCAGCAGCCGCGGUAAUAC